rnacentral:rRNA from 1 species
UGGGGAAUAUUGCACAAUGGGCGCAAGCCUGAUGCAGCAACGCCGCGUGCGGGAUGACGGCCUUCGGGUUGUAAACCGCUUUCAGUAGGGACGAAGCGCAAGUGACGGUACCUACAGAAGAAGGACCGGCUAACUACGUGCCAGCAGCCGCGGUGAUACGUAGGGUCCGAGCGUUGUCCGGAAUUAUUGGGCGUAAAGGGCUUGUAGGCGGUUCGUCGCGUCAGGGAGUGAAAACUCGGGGCUUAACCCCGAGCCUGCUUUUGAUACGGGCGAACUAGAGGGAUGCAGGGGAGAACGGAAUUCCUGGUGGAGCGGUGGAAUGCGCAGAUAUCAGGAGGAACACCGGUGGCGAAGGCGGUUCUCUGGGCAUCACCUGACGCUGAGAAGCGAAAGCGUGGGGAGCAAACAGGCUUAGAUACCCUGGUAGUCCACGCCGUAAACGGUGGGCACUAGGUGUGGGGGACAUUCCACGUUCUCCGUGCCGAAGCUAACGCAUUAAGUGCCCCGCCUGGGGAGUACGGCCGCAAGGC